rnacentral:tRNA from 1 species
GCCUGAGUGGCUCAGUGGGUUCAGCAUCUGACUUCAGCUCAGGUCAUGAUCUCACAGUUCGUGGGUUUGAGCCCCAUGUAGGGCU